rnacentral:lncRNA from 1 species
CCGUUUCCAGGGCCCUUGAAGUCCAGGCAGAUGGAGGGCUGGAGGAGGAGGACCAGCUCGCUGGACAGCUGCUGGCAGGGCCUGGGCUUAACUCUACCCACCCUCUGAAGGAGCCGUAGAAAAUGGAAGAAGUUGUCCUCAGGUCUAAGCCACCAUCAGCCGCAUUCCAAAUGCAGGACACUUUGCCAAGUUCAAGAAUGCACAGCACUGUGAAUUCGCUCAUAGCCCAGGCUGGUCUCGAAUUCACUGCAGUCCUCCUGCCUCAGUUUCCCAAGUGCUGGCAUUAUAGGCUUGUGCCACGUGCCCACCAUCAGAGCACCCACCCUGAAAGUCACCCUCAAGACCCCAUAAAUAUACCCAGAUUCGGAUUAUGGUUGUCACUCAGCAGGAUCCUUCUGGGGGAUUUGGCUUGAAUCAAGAAGAAAAAAAGAAGAAGAAGCAAAAAUAGCUUCAAGGAACAGCUUCUCCAUCAGAUUGAAAAACCAAAAGCCCACCCCAUGUCCAGGCUCAGAGAACAUUCUGGAAACUUGCCCAGGUCUCCUUCAUUCCACUCCACGGUGACGCCCAGAGGGAGAGCUUCCCUGAAAAGGGCUCUGCUAGCUCAUGUGGCGCCACACACCUGUAAUCCCAGCACUCAGGAGCCUGAGGCAGGAGGAUCAUCAUGAGUUCAAGGCCAGCCUGAACUACAUAGUGAGACCUUAUUUUUAAAAAACUGAAAAAUGAAUUUUAAAACUCUAAACACUAAAAGGCUUUGCUUAGGUUACCCCUCUGCUCAAAAACCUGCAAUGGCUCCCCUACUGUUCCCAGAAUAAAGUCCACCUUCCCUGGCCCUGAAUUCUCAGGCUCCAGUUCGAGUGCCC